UGGGGAAUUUUGGACAAUGGGGGAAACCCUGAUCCAGCCAUCCCGCGUGUGCGAUGAAGGCCUUCGGGUUGUAAAGCACUUUUGGCAGGAAAGAAACGUCGCGGGUUAAUACCCCGCGGAACUGACGGUACCUGCAGAAUAAGCACCGGCUAACUACGUGCCAGCAGCCGCGGUAAUACGUAGGGUGCAAGCGUUAAUCGGAAUUACUGGGCGUAAAGCGUGCGCAGGCGGUUCGGAAAGAAAGAUGUGAAAUCCCAGAGCUUAACUUUGGAACUGCAUUUUUAACUACCGGGCUAGAGUGUGUCAGAGGGAGGUGGAAUUCCGCGUGUAGCAGUGAAAUGCGUAGAUAUGCGGAGGAACACCGAUGGCGAAGGCAGCCUCCUGGGAUAACACUGACGCUCAUGCACGAAAGCGUGGGGAGCAAACAGGAUUAGAUACCCUGGUAGUCCACGCCCUAAACGAUGUCAACUAGCUGUUGGGGUCUUCGGACCUUGGUAGCGCAGCUAACGCGUGAAGUUGACCGCCUGGGGAGUACGGUCGCAAGAUUAAAACUUAAAGGAAUUG
rnacentral:rRNA from 1 species